GCCAACUUCAGACUCCUUGUGGAGCCCAAGAUUGUCAAAAAAAGAACCAAGAAGUUCAUCCAGCACCAGUCUGACCAAUAUGUCAAAAUUAAGCGUAACUGGCAGAAACCCAGAGGUACUGACAACAGGGCUCAUAGAAGGUUCAAAGGCUAGAUCUUGAUGCCCAACAUUGGUUAUGGGAGCAACAGAAAAACAGCACAUGCUGCCCAGUGGCUUCCGGAAGUUCCUGAUCCACAGCGUCAAGGAGCCGGAAGUGCUGCUGCCAUGCAACAAAUCUUACUGUGCUGAGAUCAUUCACAAUGUUUCCUCCAAGAACUGCAAAGCCGUUGUGGAAAGAGCUGCCCAGCUGGCCAUCAGAGUCACCAACCCCAAUGCCAGGCUGUGCAGCGAAGAAAAUGGGUAG
rnacentral:lncRNA from 1 species